rnacentral:rRNA from 1 species
UCUUUCGUCGGGGAAGAAAAUGACUGUACCCGAAUAAGAAGGUCCGGCUAACUUCGUGCCAGCAGCCGCGGUAAUACGAAGGGACCUAGCGUAGUUCGGAAUUACUGGGCUUAAAGAGUUCGUAGGUGGUUGAAAAAGUUGGUGGUGAAAUCCCAGAGCUUAACUCUGGAACUGCCAUCAAAACUUUUCAGCUAGAGUAUGAUAGAGGAAAGCAGAAUUUCUAGUGUAGAGGUGAAAUUCGUAGAUAUUAGAAAGAAUACCAAUUGCGAAGGCAGCUUUCUGGAUCAUUACUGACACUGAGGAGCGAAAGCAUGGGUAGCGAAGAGGAUUAGAUACCCUCGUAGUCCAUGCCGUAAACGAUGUGUGUUAGACGUUGGAAAUUUAUUUUCAGUGUCGCAGGGAAACCGAUAAACACACCGCCUGGGGAGUACGACCGCAAGGUUAAAACUCAAAUGAAUUGACGGGGACCCGCACAAGUAGUGGAGCAUGUGGUUUAAUUCGAAGAUACGCGCAGAACCUUACCAACACUUGACAUGUUCGUCGCGACUCUAAGAGAUUAGAGUUUUCGGUUCGGCCGGACGAAACACAGGUGCUGCAUGGCUGUCGUCAGCUCGUGUCGUGAGAUGUUGGGUUAAGUCCCGCAACGAGCGCAACCCUCACUUUUAGUUGCCAUCAUUAAGUUGGGCACUCUGAAAGAACUGCCAGUGAUAAGCUGGAGGAAGGUGGGGAUGACGUCAAGUCCUCAUGGCCCUUACGUGUUGGGCUACACACGUGCUACAAUGGUAUCUACAACAGGAAGCAAGACUGCGAAGUUAAGCAAAUCCCUAAAAGAUACCUCAGUUCGGAUUGCACUCUGCAACUCGAGUGCAUGAAGCUGGAAUUACUAGUAAUCGUGGAUCAGCGUGCCACGGUGAAUGCGUUCCCGGGUCUUGUACACACCGCCCGUCACACCAUGGGAGUUGGUUCUACCUUAAGGCAAGGUUUCAAACCCUUGACCACGGUAUAGUCAGCGACUGGGGUGAAGUCGUAACAAGGUAGCCGUAGGGGAACCUGCGGCUG